GACAGAAGGGGCAAGCUUCCUGCGAUAGGACUCGGCGUACAGCGUGAUGUUGCGUGUUAGACGGUAGAAAAAUGCAGUGUUAUGGUCAAAGGAUCAGUCAAAUGAGGGGAUAUUGGCAGGAGCGCCACAGGUGAACACAAUUUGCAUGUCACCGUCUGUAGCAUAUUUACGGAAGUUUCGGGAUCAAACGGAUACGAAACCCUUUGUAAGCUCCAGA
rnacentral:rRNA from 1 species